rnacentral:SRP_RNA from 1 species
GCCGGGCAUGGUGGCGCAUGCCUGUAAUCCCAGCUACUUGGGAGGCUGAGGCAGAAGAAUCACUUGAACCUGGGAGGCAGAGGUUGCAGUGAGCCCAGAUUGCACCACUGCACUCCAGCCUGGGCAACAGAGUAAGACCCUGUCUCCU